rnacentral:rRNA from 1 species
UACGGAGGGGGCUAGCGUUGUUCGGAAUUACUGGGCGUAAAGCGCACGUAGGCGGCUUUGCAAGUUAGAGGUGAAAGCCCGGGGCUCAACUCCGGAAUUGCCUUUAAGACUGCAUCGCUAGAAUUGUGGAGAGGUAAGUGGAAUUCCGAGUGUAGAGGUGAAAUUCGUAGAUAUUCGGAAGAACACCAGUGGCGAAGGCGACUUACUGGACACAUAUUGACACUGAGGUGCGAAAGCGUGGGGAGCAAACAGG